rnacentral:lncRNA from 1 species
CUAUGUUUCCAGUGUCCUCUGGGUGUUUCCAAGAGCAACAAGAAAUGAAUAAAUCUCUGG